GAUGAACGCUGGCGGCGUGCCUAAUACAUGCAAGUCGAGCGAACGGACGAGAAGCUUGCUUCUUUGAUGUUAGCGGCGGACGGGUGAGUAACACGUGGAUAAUCUACCUAUAAGACUGGGAUAACUUCGGGAAACCGGAGCUAAUACCGGAUAAUAUUCUGAACCGCAUGGUUCAAAAGUGAAAGACGGUGUUGCUGUCACUUAUAGAUGCAUCCGCGCUGCAUUAGCUAGUUGGUAAGGUCACGGCUUACCAAGGCAACGAUGCAUAGCCGAGCUGCGAGGGUGAUAGGCCGCACGGGAGCUGGAACGCGGUCCAGACGCCUGAGGGAGGGAGCAGAAGGGAAUGUUACGCAGUGGGCGAGAGCCUGGCGGAACAACGCCGCGUGAGAGAUGGAGGUCUUCGGAUCGUAAAACUCUGUUAUUAGGGAAGAACAGAUGUGUCAGUAACUGUGCACUUCUUGACGGUACCUAAUCAGAAAGCCACGGCUAACUACGUG
rnacentral:rRNA from 1 species